rnacentral:rRNA from 1 species
GGACCCACACAAGCAGUGGAUCAUGUGGUUUAAUUCGACACAAAACGAGGAACCUUACCGAGGCUUGACAUCUCUGGAACCCUCCGGAAACGGAGGGGUGCCCGCAAGGGAGCCAGAAGACAGGUGUUGCAUGGUUGUCGUCAGCUCGUGCCUUGAGGUGUUCGGUUCAGUCCGUUAACGAGCGCAACCCAUAUGGCUAGUUACAUUGUCUAGUCAGACUGCCCUGGUAAACAGGGAGGAAGGUGUGGAUGACGUCAAAUCAGCAUGGCCCUUAUGCCUCGGGCCACACACAUGAUACAAUGGUUGGUACAAAGAGUAGCGAUACGGUAACGUGGAGCAAAUCUCAAAAAGCCAAUCCCAGUCCGGAUUGAGGUCUGCAACUCGACCUCAUGAAGUCGGAAUUGCUAGUAAUCGUGAAUCAGCUAUGUCACGGUGAAUAUGUUCCUGGGUCUU